rfam:Prevotella bivia DSM 20514 genomic scaffold Prebiscaffold_3, whole genome shotgun sequence.
GGUCGUAUCGAUUCGAUUGGGAUAGUCAUCAAAUAAAAUAGAAAACCCGAGAUGACUUCUUUUGUUAAUGGCGGGCCACAUAAAAUCGUGAAAACGACUAAGCCGCAAGGUCAGUGGAUUACAAAGACGAGGAGCUCUCUUAUCAUUGAUACUCGGACUUUUCAUCACAUCAUCGAUACGGCUCUUUUU